UUGCAUUCUGCACGUUCACAGCUAACACAUUUAUGAGUUCUGUUUGAACCAUGAUCCAUUAAUGUUAAUCUAAAACAAUAUAAUUGAAUUGGUUGUAGAGGAAACCAUAGGCGUACGUGAUUACCAGGAUCUUCAUCCGUUUGUGUUGCUGGUGGAAAACACUAUCACUUGAAUGCACCCUGCAGCGGUGGUGAUGGACGGCAGAGAGCCUCACAAUACCUACACAUCACUUGACACUAGAGGCCAGGUUGGUCCCAUAUUGUUGGUGACCUGGACGGUGAGCAAAGACCACAAGAACAGGAGGAAUCCCGCACCAGGGAGAGCAACGAUAGAACCUAGGUGUUGUGUUGGUGAAAUUGACGUUGAGGAACGACCACAAGAGCAGUAGGAAUCCAGCACCACGGAGAGCAGCCAUGGAAACUAUAGGAACAACCAUGGAAGCACUGUUGAGAAAACUGUUGGAGGCGAACAGGGCACAGCUAUAGCCAGUAGCCGGGAGCUGCUGGGAGUGCUGACAGCCAGUCAUGU